UUUUUUCCUGCUCAGGACGAACGCUGGCGGCGUGCCUAAUACAUGCAAGUCGAGCGGACCGGAUCGGAGCUUGCUCUGGUUUGGUCAGCGGCGGACGGGUGAGUAACACGUGGGCAACCUGCCCGCAAGACCGGGAUAACUCCGGGAAACCGGAGCUAAUACCGGAUAACACCGAAGACCGCAUGGUCUUUGGUUGAAAGGCGGCCUUUGGCUGUCACUUGCGGAUGGGCCCGCGGCGCAUUAGCUAGUUGGUGAGGUAACGGCUCACCAAGGCGACGAUGCGUAGCCGGCCUGAGAGGGUGACCGGCCACACUGGGACUGAGACACGGCCCAGACUCCUACGGGAGGCAGCAGUAGGGAAUCUUUCGCAAUGGGCGAAAGCCUGACGGAGCGACGCCGCGUGAGCGAAGAAGGCCUUCGGGUCGUAAAGCUCUGUUGUGAGGGACGAAGGAGCGCCGUUUGAAGAGGGCGGCGCGGUGACGGUACCUCACGAGGAAGCCCCGGCUAAAUACGUGCCAGCAGCCGCGGUAAUACGUAGGGGGCGAGCGUUGUCCGGAAUUAUUGGGCGUAAAGCGCGCGCAGGCGGUUCCUUAAGUCUGAUGUGAAAGCCCACGGCUCAACCGUGGAGGGUCAUUGGAAACUGGGGGACUUGAGUGCAGGAGAGGAGAGCGGAAUUCCACGUGUAGCGGUGAAAUGCGUAGAGAUGUGGAGGAACACCAGUGGCGAAGGCGGCUCUCUGGCCUGCAACUGACGCUGAGGCGCGAAAGCGUGGGGAGCAAACAGGAUUAGAUACCCUGGUAGUUCACGCCGUAAACGAUGAGUGCUAAGUGUUAGAGGGGUCACACCCUUUAGUGCUGCAGCUAACGCGAUAAGCACUUC
rnacentral:rRNA from 1 species